AACGAACGCUGGCGGCAUGCCUAACACAUGCCAGUCGAACGAGACCUUCGGGUCUAGUUGCGCACGGGUUCGUAACGCGUGGGAACCUGCCCUUAGGUUCGGAAUAACUUCCCGAAAGGGGUGCUAAUACCGGAUAAUGUCUUCGGACCAAAGAUUUAUCGCCCUUGGAUGUGCCCGCUUUGGAUUAGCUUGUUGGUAGGGUAAAAGCCUACCAAGGCGACGUUCCAUAGCUGGUCUGAGAGGAUGAUCAGCCACACUGGGACUGAGACACGGCCCAGAAUCCUACGGGAGGCAGGAGUGGGGAAUAUUGGAACAUGGGCGAAAGCAUGAUCCAGCACUGCCGCGUGAGUGAUGAAGGCCUUAGAGUUGUAAAGCUCUUUUAACCGGGAUGAUAAUGACAGUACCGGGAGAAUAAGCCCCGGCUAACUCCGUG
rnacentral:rRNA from 1 species